GUAGCUCAGUGGUAGAGUGCUUGCCUAGCAUGCAUGAGGCCCUGGGUUCAAUUCCUCAGC
rfam:Dipodomys ordii contig_20293, whole genome shotgun sequence.